rnacentral:lncRNA from 1 species
AACGUGUUCAUUCGUACGUGAAAACAAGGCAGGAUCGUUUACCAGACCAUAAAGUUCGGUCUCAGUUUAGCUAGCUAUCUUCAGUUAGCGUUAUUUAUAGCUAGCUACUGUUUGAUAGCUUCAACAACCUGGCGACUUGAACGAACAAGAAGAGGUGCAACAGAUGGUUCCCCUCCUGAGAUCAGAGCGUCCCGCUGGAGGAGCAGCACCACUGUGAUUAAUGAGCACACGCACACACAGGUCUGACAUAGCAGGUCUCUCGCCCCCAGUCAGAACAGCUGUUUUGCUCCAGAGGCAUUGUGGGUCUGUGUUGCUGUGGCGAUGCCUUAAGUUAUGCCAGCUGCUCUACUUCCUGAUGAUGCUGCUGGCAAAUAAGAUAAAAACAACAUUGAUUUCAAAGUGUACUAUAUGUACUUGAGUAAGUACUCGACUACUGUCUUCCAUUGCUACUUUAUUGGUGAAACCUCUGAUAACAUCAUAACUAAUAUGUCCUAGUUUGUAUUCUUAGCUAAUUAUUACAUAAUUCUGCAGCAAGUAAACUGUUGCCUGUAUUUCCUUAACAGCUAGAUGGCAGUAAACAAACACUGGACCUAGUUCCCCUGUUGCUGAAGGUUGAUCAAUUAUGCCUCAAAGUCUGGAAGGCCUGUUCCACCCCUGACAACCUCUUUAAUCCCACCCCUAAAAAUGUUUAAUUUGCAACUAAAUAUGCUUAAGAUUUUUGCUCCCAUGAAACGUGGUAGGAGUGGGGAUUUGCUCAGUUCCUCUGCACAAAGGAACAUGAAAGAACAGUGGGUACAGUAGUUGUGGUCCGAUGGAGGGAGGCAGGAAAAGAGAGACGUAGGAGCCUGUCGCCAGGAUGUUAUCUCUCUCCCUCUCUCUCUCACAUGAGAAGGACAAAACUUUUAUUUUGACAAGAGGUCUUCAACUUUUAUUUCGCUGUCCUUGAACAGGACAGAGCCUGUCAGAGGGGAACUUCCUGUGAUGACCAACAGGGAGAGGGAGAGGCGAGAACACAAGAUGAGCUAACACCAAAAACAACACCAGUGAUAGAGGAAGUUCAGUGCCGUUCGUUCUAAGCAAAGCCACCUGAGGGGAAGUUGUGGGCAGGUUAAUGACCUUUGACCUUGUACUGUAGCAGAAUAUGUUGGGGCAAAUUUCCUAAAACUUUGUAGGAAAACAUACAACGGUGUCCUAUUAAAGAGGGACGAGGAUCACAG